GGCGUUGAGCGGGUGUGUCUUUCGUUGCGAGUCUCCUGUAGUGAUUCUCAGCGAUUAAACAUCGGCCCGUUUGAGUGAUUCACGGUGCAAGACCGAAAUCAUCAUCCAGAUCAGCUACCAAACAAACCCCGAGUUCUUGACAGAAAGUCUGAAAACCAAACUGACGUCAUGAUUGAGCAUCUUCCACUGGGCGUUGACCCCGAGACAUCGGCUGCCAAAAUGGAGAACGACAAGAAGAAGAAAGUGAAAGAGACAAAGAAGAAAAAGAAGAGCAAGGUUGCUUUGUUCACCAGAGCGGCCUUGAGAUGGUUCUGCUUCUCUCCCAGUGAUGAGCCGUUCAGAUUCCCAUCCUCUGAUGAUUAUGAGGUCUAUGAGAAGAGGAUGGUGGAGGAAGAGGAACUGAAGGA
rnacentral:lncRNA from 8 species